rnacentral:rRNA from 1 species
UACGGGGGGAGCAAGCGUUGUUCGGAUUUACUGGGCGUAAAGGGCGCGUAGGCGGCGCGACAAGUCACUUGUGAAAUCUCCGGGCUUAACUCGGUAGAGGCCAAGCGAUACUGUCGUGCUCGAGUGCGGAAGGGGCAACCGGAAUUCUUGGUGUAGCGGUGAAAUGCGUAGAUAUCAAGAGGAACACCUGCGGCGAAGGCGGGUUGCUGGGCCGACACUGACGCUGAGGCGCGAAAGCUAGGGGAGCGAACGGG